UACGGGGGGGGCAAGCGUUGUUCGGAAUUACUGGGCGUAAAGGGCUCGUAGGUGGCCAACUAAGUCAGACGUGAAAUCCCUCGGCUUAACCGGGGAACUGCGUCUGAUACUGGAUGGCUAGAGUUUGGGAGAGGGAUGCGGAAUUCCAGGUGUAGCGGUGGAAUGCGCAGAUAUCAGGAGGAACACCGGUGGCGAAGGCGGCAUCCUGGACCGACACUGACGCUGAGGAGCGAAAGCCAGGGGAGCAAACGGG
rnacentral:rRNA from 1 species